UUAAGCAUAUCAGUAAGCAGAGGAAAAGAAAACAACUGUGAUUCCCUUAGUAACUGCGAGUGAAGCGGGAUAAGCCCAUCGUUUAAUCUUCUCGGACUAUGGACGAGACGAAAUGUAACGGUAUGGAUAGGUUCUCUAUCGACAGUGUCUGGUCAAAGUCCUCCGGAUUGAGGUGCCAAAGAGGGUGACAGCCCCGUGUGUGACUGGAUAGUGAGUGGUGUCGAGUAUGUGACCGAUUCCGAGAGUCGGGUUGUUUGGGACUGCAACCUAAAGCAGGUGGUAAACUCCACCCAAGGCUAAAUAUUGACACGAAACCGAUAGCGAACAAGUACUGUGAAGGAAAGUUGAAAAGAACUCUGAAAAGAGAGUUAAAAGUACGUGAAACCGCUAACGGGGAAGCGGAAGGCAGUGUCGAGAUUGAGUGAGUGAGUUGUGUCAACGCUCUAUUUUUAUAUUUAUCAACUGCACAACAUGAACAUGGUGUGGGUUGGUAAAGAUCAAGAUGGGAGUUGGUGCAACUAGCUUUGCUUGAUGCGUCAGGACUAUUGGUGUGCGAUGGUUCAAUUGUCGGCAUGGCUUCCACGACACCCAAGUAUUCGUAUUUGGGCUCGUGGCUGCGGCAGGCAAUCCACCUCGUGUGCUGAUAUGUUUGUGGAGAGAGGCGUUGGUGAUGUUAUUGUCGGUUGGUGUUGUGUGGUGCUCCGCAUAGUCACAAUGUGGCAAUGUUUAAUGGAGAAGUCAUGUGAUAGUUCAACAACCAGUGCCAGUUCCUGACGUGAUACCUAACCUUC
rnacentral:rRNA from 1 species